UGAUAAAUAAAUUGUUUAAAACCGUCUAUAUCGUUUGUUGAAUCUUUCCAAAAUUCAUAGGUCUUUUCUGAAUCAUUAUAGAAAUUGUUUAGAGACUCGGUUGGAGUGGAAAAAAGUAACUCAUCUGUUUCAUAAGAAUUUGUAUUGUUGUUCAUACUAUGAGUUUCAAAAAAUCUGCAAGUUUGACGCAUAAUUUUUUUACGAGAGAGAGAAGGAGACAGAGGAAGAACAAAAAAUUGAAAGAAAAAAUUUGCCGAAAUAACAACAAGUGACACAAUUUCCUCAGUCGUGUUUUCAAAAUUUUGCAGCACCCGUAAAAGUUUCUUACUGAUGCUAUGACCUUCGGAUUAUUUGAAUUAAUUUAAAUGUCCGAAACCAUAUCUUUUGUAGGAAGAAAAAUUAUAAAAAAUAGAUUUUUUGAAAUUGAAACACAAGUUACGUAAAAUGAAAAAAAAAUGUACGCCUCUUCCUUAUUCAAGACGUACAAGGACUAUUAUGUAUCGGAUGUUUGAAAUUUUUUCUUACCAGCCAUUUUCUAUUAUGAAACGAUUUUUUUUUGUUCUACUGUACAUGCACAUGGUAUACUGGUCAUACCUUCGUGUAUACCCACAUUACCACGCAAGGAUAUUCAAUCAUUAUCUGCUGCAAAGAACGUUACGUUCUUUAGGAAAAGCUGCAAGAGAAAAGUAGCAGUUUAACAACUUGACUAUAGCACCAAUUUUUUUUCUUUCGAGUAAACCAUUUACACCCCCAAAAAAAAAUUAAAGUUAUCAAGCCCACAUCUUUCCUCAUGGGACACUAAAGAGAACUCAACAAGUAAUGCAUAGAAUUCUAUAGAAGGUCAUACAGCAGUUAUGCAUGACUCAUUUUCGGUUGAAGGUACUAAUUUGAAAUUCCUUUAUCCAUAUACGUUUUUUUUUUUUUUUUAAAAAAUAUAAAUUUUUUUUUCUUUAGAUUUUAUUUUUUUUUGAGUCACUUUAAACAUAAAUGCAUGUUUGUUCUUUUUUUUGUACUAGAGUUUCUUUCCUUGUUGUACCUACUUUAUUGAUUAAAUGUUAAAAAAGAAAACCUGCAUUUGAAGGAAUGAGAACACGUCGACACAAGUAUAAAAGAGAUCAUGGAUCCAAUAGGCUUAUCCUUGAAAAGUGUAAGAGUGUAUUUUAACGUGGGACACCGUUCGAGUGAAAACAUUUGUCGUGGGAAAAAAAUAAAUCGCUGUUUACUUUCUAUAAGAAUUAAAUUUUUACUGGGUUCAACUGAAUCGAUACACACACAGAAAAAGGUUAGAAAAAACAAGGUGAAAAUGAAAGAUCACAUUAGAACAUGAUCAUGUAAACCAAAGAAAACGUACGUGAAAAAAUUCUCGCAAGGCUGGUGACCCGCAUGCUCUUCAUGCUCUCACGAAUCAGUUACGUUUGAGUUGAAGUUUUUUAAAAAUUAGAGCUGCUAAUACACGACGAAAAGUGUGUGUGUGUGUGUGUGUGUGUGUGUGUGUGUGAUUGAAAUUUUUUUUUCAUCUGAAUUGCUUCAAUGACAUUAACAUUAAAAAAAAUUGUGUGUUGUUCUUGAAAAAAAGUGUUGAACAAUCUACAAAAUAUUUUUUCUACCACUCUUUUGAAAUAAAGUAUAAUAGUAGUGGAAAAUUAAAAUCAAGGUUUACUACUGACCAAGUUGCUUCAGAUUGAUGGAAUGUGCUUUAAGUGAUCUUCGUGGUUUUGUUUCAAUACUCCAUGCUCUACAACUGGAAAAUCGAAAAGACUACCCUCUUGAGAUUUUUAUAGAUAAGCAAGGAGUGGGUUUCCACUCAAUGACGCAAGCGGGUGAUGUGAUGAUUCAAUGUGUAUUAACACCGGACUGGUUUCACCAGUUUCGUGUUGAUGACCAAAUAUACAAUUCCUUAUCUCAAAACACGGUGCACGCAGCAUGUUAUAACUUUUCCCUUGUGUUACCUCACUUUCUUCAUUAUAUUCAAGCUUUCGGAUUAGGUGCCUCCAUGAUAUUAAAGUACUUACCUGAAGAAAAAAAACUUCAAUUAAUUUUGACACAUAAAGAUGGUCGUUCGGAAUGCUUUAUUCAAGUGCAUCAAUCUCAAUGCUUCUCGGCUUUAUCAGACUGGAACCACACUGAUUGUCUUUUUGAAAUCCAUCCUAAACGUUUACGUGAUUCUCUUAUGGAUAUUCAAGAUAAUAGCGAAUUGACUAGCAAGAUCAUUUUACAAGUUUCUCCUCUUGAGCAAAACAAUGGAAGUGAAUCGAGAAAAGAUACGCUUUCAGAAGAACAGUCUGUACUAACUAUGAAUGUCACAACACAAUGCUCUUCAUGUUGUAUCGCCUUUCCUUAUACUCCACAGCUUUUUCCAGUGUUUCAAGUGAAAACGACGCACAGAUAUACGUAUGCUACAAAAGUUUUUUUAAUGCUUCAAAAACCAUUAGCUUUAGCUUCAAGGUGUUCCAUGUGGUUAUCACCUCAUGGAUUAUUACACGCCUCCCUUACAUUAAAAGGAACACCCAGUCUCCAAUUUCGUAUGGUUGUGCAGAGUUUACACACUUGAUUGGAAUUUUUCGCUAGGCAAGCUGAACAUCACCACUUUGCUGUCCCAAGUCUUAACAGAAUUUCAGUAGUAUUAAAAAAUUUCCAUGCUCAAGAAUUUGAAAUUCAACAAACUUUUAUUUUCUUUAUGUACAUUUAAUUUUUUUUUUUUAAAAACAAACAAACAGAGAAAAUGCGCUGUGUAACGAACAAUGGUGCUAAAAUACGUUAUGAAUGAGUAAAAUUUUCAAAAUUAAACUUUUGAUUAUUGAAUUGAAAUAAACUUUUUCAUUAUUUCAAUUAUGCUUGUGUAAGAAGCCCAAAAGUAGUUUGUCAAGGAAUGGGGUGAAGGUUGCGCUACAAUAUAUUGACAACAUUUCGCAAAUAACAAAAAAUACAAAAAUUCGAUUUGAUCCUCGACUAGUAAUUUCAAUUCCUAUUAUGCAGAUACUUUAUUCAAAAAAAUAUUGGAAUGUAUUCGAUUAUCUAUCUCUUUUUCUAUUCGAAACAUCUUCUUAUCAUUUUUUAAGUGGACUUGAAACUAACCUUAACCCUAGAGACUAAAUCUUUCUACACACCUUUUUUCAAUCUCUGUGUUUUAGUGCCUUUAAGUGUGUGUGUGUGUGUGUGUGUCUCUCUCUCUUUUUUUCUAGCUGAGUCAAAAUUCAGUACAAGUACAAAGUAACCUUAAAAGCUUUUAUCGAGAGACAUAAAGGAAUUUUCUUGAGGAAAACUCACCUUGUCGGAUAUAUCACUGGGUGGUUGAAUUUUUUCUACCAGACGGGGAAACUAGUAGACAACAGGAACAAUGUUACCUUCACAGUCACUUAAGAAGGGUUUAGAUUACACUUGUGUAGCUCAUAAUCCUUGUUAUUCCCCUCAUCAUAUAACUCAUAAUCCUCCUAGUUUCCUUCAACACAAUCGUUUAAAAUUUCUUAUACUAGACGCUCCUAAUGAUAAAAAUCUUGUUUUAUAUGUGAAUGAAUUUCAGCGGUAUAAAAUCACAGAUCUUGUACGCACUUGUUCGUUAACAUAUACGGAAUCAAUUCUCUUGAAACAUGGAAUUCAAAUUCACGCUUUAAUGUUUGACGAUGGAGAGCCUCCUUCAAAGAUGAUUCUCGACAAAUGGAUGGAUAUUGUUUAUGAGUGUGCAAGAAAGGAUGCCGUUGUUGCAGUCCAUUGUUUGGCCGGUUUAGGUCGAGCACCUGUUCUCGUUGUUGUUGCUUUAAUAGAAGAUGGUAUGAAAAAUCUUGAAGCUGUUGAAUUCGUUCGCGCACAUCGACGAGGUGCCAUUAAUAAAAAACAGUUGGAAUAUUUAAUGUCGUAUAAAAAGCGUAGAAAAAAAACAGGUUGUUGUUUCAUCAUGUAAUGGUAUACUUUUCUGUAUAUCAAUCCAGUCACAUGACGCUCUUUUGUUAAGUUUUUUCUUAAAAAGACAAACAUAAUUUCUAUUUUUAACCAAACGAAUUCGUAUUUCUUUUACAAUUAAACCGUGUUCACCAUUCAA